rnacentral:misc_RNA from 1 species
CAUGAGAGCGAGAGCAAUAACAAGCGCCAUCAAAAGUCCUGUGAAGUCAACGCCAUCGCCGUCGCUUAGCUCCGAGCAAACCAUUUUUCCCAUCUUCGUCGCAAGUCGCAACAAUAUAUGCUUGCUUUUCUCCUUUCCUUUUGUUCCCUCGAAAGUUACCACAUUAUUUUCAUGACGAUUUUAUAAUUUUAUCUUAGAUUGAGUCAAGCCCACAGUGGAAUUUGCAUGUAUAAAGAAACUUCGCUUCCUGUUUGGUCGUCUGAAAAAAUCAACCCACAAUUAUGGACCCAACGACUACGCUUGUACUAAUGACAGUGACGUUGUCCAUUUUCAAUCCCUGCGUAGGGUUUAAGCUUUCUCAACAGUGGGGGGCGGCCGGAGACUGGACGCAGACGAUUGGGUUGGGCCAAGUUAGGAGACAAGGCCGUCUGUCCUGGGGCAAGACCAAGCCUGCAAGGGGAUCUGAGACUACCCCUUUUACCCAUUGAAUGUGACAACAUGUUGGGGUUGAAUUGAAAUAAUUAAACAGUGGAAGAACGUAGAUAAAGUGGAAGGUAACAAAAUGAUUGAGAGCAUUAUUCAUGAGGAUGCAACAAUCAUUGAUUUGAUUCCCUUCAUCAAAGGGUCACUCGCUCAGGUUGGCUCUGUUUUUUUUAAGUAUUCAUUACACCAUACUACAUGUGGGCCUCUUUUAACUAUGACUGUUGAUGCAAAUGCAAUGGAAUAAUAGUUUUGAUUCAGUUACUGUGCCUCAUCAUGGCUAUAAAAC